rnacentral:misc_RNA from 1 species
UUAGUUUCAAGACCAAAACAUUAAAAUGUCUGAUUCCCAGGUUUUAUGUGAUUGUAAAAAUCUCUAUUCCUUCCUUUUCCUUUUCCUUUUCCUUUUCCUUUUCCAACCCUUUGAAAAUAAAUUGUUAAAUGCACUUUCGAAAAAAUCAUGGAAAUGAAAAUCCAAUAUUUAACCCACAUAAAUUUUCUUGAAAGUGCAUUUAACAAUUUAUUUUCAUGAUAACAGCGUGAACACAAAAAUACACCUGAGGG